GGAUGGAUCCAGCUGCGCGAGGACGGGACAGGAAAGGAGGGCUGGACGCGGCGCGUGCGCACCUGAGCGCGCGCCGAGGCGCACACACGCCCUAAAGAAAAAUGUUUGAACGUCGUUACCUGGGCGACAGAAAUGUCGACUGUGACCAACUAAAUCUGAGCGUGUCUGUGGUGAACGCUCCAGACAUCAACCUGUGCGGCCCAGUCCUUGAUAAAUUCAACCUUCCAUUAGGGAGCUCAGAGGUGCAUUAUCCAUCACCGAGAUCAGACGCUUGCAAAUUAGCCCUACAUUUCCACAUUAGAGAUGACUGGAUAAAGCGGCCUGAGACUCCCGGACUCAUAAUUAAUUUAACGGGCCGUAUUACCGCAGGGCAGUGUCGCUAAAAAGGCUCCAAAACCAAACCAGCGGAGGUUCAGAGAGUGAAGCUGCUGCAGAGACUUUCACUCACUGAGUCGUAGAGAGAUUUGUUUCCUUGUGCGGCUCAGGAAUGAAGCUGGAAUGGUUUUAACUUCAAGUCUCCGGCUCUUCCUUGUUUCAACACUUCCUCAUGUUUUACUUUGCACACCCAAAGCUGAGGAAUUUCAACAGUUUAUGUUUUAGUUUCUUUCUUCGGGCUCCAUCCGUUUCUCCCCAAAGUUUAUAUUUCUGUGCAUGUGCUGUUAUACAGAGUUAUUCUAAUCUACAGUUGUAUCAACUAGUCGAGAUGGACUGAAGAUGAAGACUGAAGAUGCAAUCUCUUUCCAUGCCAAGAGGAGGCGACUGGAUGAACCUGUUCUCUGGUUAAACAAGCUUUGUUUCCAGAUGUCACUGUAAAGGACCUGACAGUUCAACCUGAAUCAUCCCAGAAGUGUGACAGCGUCUAAUCGCUCCCCUUCCUCAACACACUUCCUUGUAGAGUCUGCCAACGAGGAAGAUCGAAACGCCAGCAAGACAAAACAAUCUGUUCUUUCUGAUCUGGCUCUGCUUUCUGCUGGAGAAGAACUUCCGCAACAUUUUCAUCAGGCCAGAAAGAUGGAAAUUAAAAAACCCGAUCACGGCCUUGAAAGGGCCGACGCUGAUUGCAUUUGGGGGGAAAACCUCAAUCCAUUUACUUUCAGUCGACGCUUUUUAUAUUGAAAUGACUCCAUUAGGAUCCAUUAGCGCCCGCGUUGUAGGGACGGCGUGUCUCCCUGAGCUCGUAGCGAGCCAGCAAAGCCCUGUUCUCUGCAUUCAAGGCCGCUGGUCUGAGAACCUGAUGUAAAUCACCGGUGAUUAAAUUAAAACCUGCUCAUUCCACAUCCAGAACCUGCCUGUCUGUCUGUCUGUCUGUCUGGUCUGUGUUCACUCAUCAGUGUGAAUCCAGAAGAAUUAAAGCUUCUCUGCUACAAAAUCUAUUCAGUGUUUUUGUUUUAUUGUGUUAAAAUAGAGACCUAAGAAGAAACAAUAAUAACAAUAAUAAUAAUAAUAGAUGCAAAAAUGGAUGCAAAUGAUCACAAUCACAGUGUUAAUGCAACAUGACUGACUAUUUAAAAAAAAUUUAAUUACAAUAUCAAGAAACAUACCUUUUUACAUUUUUUUUUUUACAAAUGAAAUGUGCUCUGAAGAAAUUUGUGUCCAAACACCGCCCCCUGCUGGAACUGCAAUAAAAGUGCCCGAAGAGCCCCUGACAUGAUUCCCAUUGUUAAAGAUUCUCUUUCUUUCUUAAAAGCAAUAAAAUCAAAUAUUAACACGAGAAAAAAAAA